rnacentral:rRNA from 1 species
UCAGGAUGAACGCUAGCUACAGGCUUAACACAUGCAAGUCGAGGGGCAGCAUGGUCUUAGCUUGCUAAGGCUGAUGGCGACCGGCGCACGGGUGAGUAACACGUAUCCAACCUGCCGUCUACUCUUGGACAGCCUUCUGAAAGGAAGAUUAAUACAAGAUGGCAUCAUGAGUCCGCAUGUUCACAUGAUUAAAGGUAUUCCGGUAGACGAUGGGGAUGCGUUCCAUUAGAUAGUAGGCGGGGUAACGGCCCACCUAGUCUUCGAUGGAUAGGGGUUCUGAGAGGAAGGUCCCCCACAUUGGAACUGAGACACGGUCCAAACUCCUACGGGAGGCAGCAGUGAGGAAUAUUGGUCAAUGGGCGAGAGCCUGAACCAGCCAAGUAGCGUGAAGGAUGACUGCCCUAUGGGUUGUAAACUUCUUUUAUAAAGGAAUAAAGUCGGGUAUGCAUACGCGUUUGCAUGUACUUUAUGAAUAAGGAUCGGCUAACUCCGUGCCAGCAGCC